CUUGCCCCGGUACCUCUUUCCUGUUCUGACCCUCACCCCAAUUCCAAGGCAUGAGGCACUCCGCUGUGUUCUCAGCAGUGAGGACAGACAACCUUAGUUUCAUCAGUGACGACUCAAGCACUUCCCAGGCCGAGACCCCGAGUAGGUCCCAAAUGGCUCCAGUUCAAACCUGCUAGGCAGGAGAUUUCCAUCAAAUCGUCCAGCCUCUGAAGGCCAGCCCCACAACCAGCAGGAAGCAGACACUCACCUGUCAAACCUCAGUGGCAUUAGCUAAGAGGUAAGU
rnacentral:lncRNA from 1 species